rnacentral:rRNA from 1 species
UACGGGGGGGGCAAGCGUUGUUCGGAAUUACUGGGCGUAAAGGGCUCGUAGGCGGCCAACUAAGUCGGACGUGAAAUCCCUCAGCUUAACUGGGGAACUGCGUCCGAUACUGGAUGUCUUGGAUUUGGGAGAGGGAUGCGGAAUUCCAGGUGUAGCGGUGAAAUGCGUAGAUAUCUGCAGGAACACCGGUGGCGAAGGCGGCAUCCUGGACCAAUAUUGACGCUGAGGAGCGAAAGCCAGGGGAGCAAACGGG